CAGUCGCCAAGUCCCUUGAGAGCCCAUACUCCCAAGGCGGCACCACGAGGUGGCACCACUCGCCAAGUCCUGCAACUUCGGGAACCUAAGCUUUGAUAUAGGUAUUACAAGAAGAGUCCAACCCAAAAUACGAGUGCGGUGGGAGGACCCAAGGAAACCACUACAUUAUUUUUGGUGUAGGCGACGUGGGAUCAUAACAUGGAACAGUUGGGGGAGUUGGGGAGUCUUUCUAAUUCCACUCUCUUCGAUUCGCUUCCAGAACAGAUUUUUUUGGAGCUCUCUCAAGCCAGGAACCCCUGGUUUCCGCAAGAAGUGAAUCUUGGGAAAAUCAAAGUUGAUUCCCGCUCUGAUUUGAAGAAAUUAUAUACCCAGAAAAGCAAUUGGCUCCAGUUCUGAUUUUAGGAAAUUUUAAACCCAGAAAAGCUGGAGUUUCCUGAUUCGUGUUCGUGGAGGUCAUUCAAACGGAUUUCAAGCUGGGCUGAAGAGGUUUGAUUAAAAAAUUUAUGGAUUUGGGAAAGACAGAUCCAAAAGACAUCCUUAAAGAGUCAAAAUUGCAAAGCAAACAAACCUCCAACAUAAAAAGAGCCUUUUGUUAACCAAUACAGGUCUAUUAAUUCUGGCAAUGCUGCAAAUGGACAGAUCCAAUCAGAGCGCUUUGUUACCCUUUGUUACAUGAUUUCAUGGAUCCAUCUAUAUGCUAUGUACUGAACUGUUAUCCAUCUACUGCCUAUUACUAUGGAGGUAAAACUUAUGGCUGAGAAUUUCUUUUAGGCUAUGAUGGGAUUAGCAACAAGUGGGAUGACUCCUCGAGAUAUGUAAAUCUUGAGGGAGUAGAAAUGACUUCUAGGCUUCCUAGGUUGGUAAAAUGGUUUUACCAAUUCUUCGUCCUUACAGCUAACGAUACUGAGCGAGGAUUACAGAGUCACGUACCUGGGUGAGAAGACUAAGGAAUGAGUUUUGGCUCCUAAGAAUGGCUGCUCUUUUGCUUCGAAUAGUCAGUGCUUCAAUUCUUCUUCGUUUUCUUUUCUUUUGGGAAACAUGUGUUUGAAGUUUGAGUGUUGAGUUUGACAAACAAAUAUAUCAACAACAACAACAAC
rnacentral:sRNA from 1 species